UUUAUUACAAGGAGAGAGAUACUGGCUCACGGCUCCGUGCUUGUAAAGUUUAAAAGUAACCAGAGUGCUGACGUCACUGAUAAGAUUUGCCCUGUUUGAGGAUGCAUUUCAAGCAUGACAAAUCAAAGAAGACGUCGGGAGGAGCCGAGGUGGAGCAGAGGACGGACAGGAGGUGGGUGUUACAUGAACAGUAACAACCACAAAGCAGCGCUGGAACAAAGGUGGGCAC